AAGUCUAAAAUGACUCUCGGCAACGGAUAUCUCGGCUCUCGCAUCGAUGAAGAACGUAGCGAAAUGCGAUACUUGGUGUGAAAACAGAACCAANAAACC
rnacentral:rRNA from 1 species